rnacentral:lncRNA from 1 species
CUUCCCUCUGUGUGUGCUCGUGGGUCUUCUUGUGUCAUUCUUUUGUAACUGAUUACAUAUGCCAUGACCUUAGUCCCCAAUUCAGUCACAUUCUGAGGUAAGGGAUGGGGGCGGGGUUAGGACUUUAACAGCUAUGUUUUUAGGAGACACAAUUCACCUCAGAACAAGACCUAAAAUGUAGAAUUGAAAAUGGUGUGGCAAAAUUGCUUGAUGAAUUGAGGUCAGGCUAAAAAGAAAACACUGAUCAUUUACAACAAAACAAACAAAUGCUUUUCUGCAUCAUUGGGACCACAAGUGUCUGGAUGAUGAAUUUGGGUGCUGUAGGGCAAGGAAGAGAGGGGGAGUAGGCAAAGGAAGGCAAAAAAGGCGACAAGAAGAGAAAGAGGGCAGGAAGGGAAAGAGCUCACCAAUCACAGCUCACUUUGUAGACUGGCUAACAUUCUCCCGGUUCUAACUGUGGAUCUGCAUUGAGCUCUAAUGCACUGAACUAUCUUCCCAAUUGUAGCCAGUUUAUGACUUUAAUAAUUACACACAUCUUAUGUCCACUUGCUGAAGAGAAAUGUGUCUUCAGAGUCCUUUUAGAAUUAGAUUGCAUCUGCAAUUUCAAACCUACAGGAGCUUUUAAUUUGGACCGUUUGUUUCCUAGUAAAAAGAAUUGAUCCUUUGCUCAUACACGGAACCCAUAGCAGAAGUCACAAUGUGCCCAAUCGUGAUGUAAAUGAGCUUGGUAGGACAUUCAGGGUGAGUGGUAGCCAGGAGCUGGGAUACUCUUGUUUCUACUGCCUCGGAAAUUAGAGAUUAAAACUCUCUAUUCUUUUAUCCAGUACAUCUUUCUUCCAAAGCCAAAUUAAUUUUAGCACUUUUUUUUCCCCUCAGGACUUUAAAUAGCUCCUGGUUUAAAGCAUCAUACAAUCUCUGAAAAACCAGGUCUGUCAAUACACUUAAUGGUGACGUGGAAGAAAAAGAAGUCAUUACCACUCAUCAAAGACCAAUAUAGGGAUGGGGGAGGGUGAGGUAUAAGAUAGAUUACAAAGAUGGAUUGUUCAACACCGGGAAUAUAGCCAACAUUUUGUAAUGAGUCUAAACAGGGUGUAACCUUUAAACAUUGUAUAAAAUUUUUUUGAAAGAAAAAUCACUUCUUGGUCCCUUUCCAGGCCAAAGUUUAAAUACGCUGUUCUCUCGUAGUCUGCAAGGAUGAUACAGAAAUGUAGUGCCUGUUUGAGUAAACUAUAAGGUUUUCAAGAGCAGGGUCUGAUUCUUCUUUUAAUAUUUUUCUUUUUCCUUCCCACUCGCAGAUAUCAACACAACACUUAGAAGGUACAGGCAUUGAAAUUUACUUGAAGUAGCUAACUCAGAAAUUAGCCUUAACUAACCUGAUGCAAGGGUUAUGCAUCCACAAUGAGAAAAUAGCAAAUGUGUAUUUAUAAAUUUUCAUCGUUUACUGUGAUACAUAAAUUUACCAUUUCAACCAUUUCAAGCGUAAAGUUUGGUGACUUUGAGUAUACUCACAUUGUCGUGAAGCCAUCACUAUCAUCAUUAUCCAUCUUUAGCACUUUUGAACUUUUGCAUCUUCCCAAACCGAAACUCUGUACCUAAAAGCAGGGGGGAUGUAUGUGAAGGAGAACAAUAUAGAUUAAUUAUUUUUUGAUCUCUAUCAAGAUUAAUAUACAGCGUUGAGUAUUGGAUUUUGGUUAACAUGGUGGUGGUGGUGGUUGUUUUUCAUCUCUUAUUGCCAUUAGUUCUUACUGCAUCCCUAUAAGAUAGGCAAAGCAGUUGUUUCUGUCCCUUUCACAGAUAAAGAACUUGAGAGUUAUGAGUGGUGGAGCCAAGACAAACUCAUGCUGUCUGUCUUCUCCUCUGUAUCUUUCCCAUUUACUUCAUUGACUUAGCAGAAUAUGAAGUCUUCCCAGUUUUAUUCCUAAAUGUGCAAUAGUGGUUUUGAAUAUAAAUUACAUAAAAAUUAUAUGAGAGAAAGCAGUUAAACAAAGUCAUCAAAUGUGAGAAAGAGGGUUCUAUUCAUGACAAAGAAAGGAAAUCAUGAAAGUGAUUCUAAAGUGGAAGGGCUUCCCUAGCAUCUUUACAGGGUAGGGCUGAAAGACAUCUGUGCUAGAGAGAAUUCCUGGGAAGUUGGAGUCCAAGAUAAGAAACUGAUUCCAGCCACAAGCCUUCUUCCUUUCUAAUCAGCCCCUUCCUGUUUCAUUUUCCCCAGUAUUUGUCACAUUGCAGUAUUUCCAUGGUGAUGAACUAAAACAUUGCAAACACAAAGUAAACUGGUCUGUAGGAAGAAGAAGGGCAGGGGACAAAAGACUUCCAUUGACCUCCAAAUAAUCUGUUCAUCACUAGUUCUGAGACAGUUUAAAGGGAAAUAAAAGGAUCCUGUAAAAGGAGGUUUAAUGACUAUAUCUAAUUUAAACACAAGGAAAUACAAAUCAUUCAACUUAUCAAAGGUCUUAGAUGCAGUAAACAGGUUAGUUCUUAAAUUCAGUAAAUUUAACAAUUGAUUAUCAGCUCACUACACAUCAUCUUUUCAGUUCAUUUGCAAAAUUUGAGAGAUAAUAAAUUCAGGGUUAUUUUCAAGUGGAUUUGUAGAAAAUAUCCAUAAAGAUGUUAAAGAAAAUGUAAAUCAUCAACAACCACCACAAAACACCCCCAAAGUCUCUAUCCUUUCCUAGAAAUUAACAGGCAGCCACUGAUUCCUUGGAUAGGGAAUCAUAAUUCAGACCCUAGAUCAUUUGUUCACCAUGCUGGCACCUCUCUAUAUGUGGCAAUUUUUCAGAAGACUGAUGUGCUUUUUUGCUACUCUGAGCAGAUUAUCAGAUGUUUAAAAAAAUCAAAUGUUAUCAAGCUCCAUGUUGGGGGAUGAAUGCCACUUAUUUCUUAUUUUCCCUUUGAAGGGUGAAAUGAUCUCCUGUAUCAGUCAAGCCUGUGGCUGUGUAAGGCUGUUCAUCCUCACGUAAUACUGAAUUUCUAAAACAAUCAAGAACCUCCAAGUUCGUUGAUGCAUCCCCUCACAUAUUUAUACACUUGUUCAUGCACUUGACAAAUAUUUACUCAGUGCCCACCAUGUGUCAGGCCCUGAGUUGGCGGUUAAGAUCUCAAAUAUUAUCAAAGUCAACAAGGAGAGAUUAUAAUGAAAGUCCUAUGUUAGGUCAUGAGGGACAGUUCAGUGCAAACUCGCCUGCGCUGCACAAACCAAACACACUUACACCCAACACAUUGCCACAUUUAAUCACACCAGAGAUAGGAACUAGACAAUGAGCCCACUUGGAAGGCAGUAAGUACUCCCAGUGGCACUUGCUGAGAAGAUAAACCAUAGCUAGUGGUUCAAGAAUAUAGGGUUUCACAGAUG